rnacentral:lncRNA from 7 species
CGCUCUCGAGAGAGCUGCCGGGCUGCUCUGUGACCUCGGGGUUCCCUGGAACCAGUCGAAACCCCCCUGUACCUCGCGAUCGGUCGCUGCGGUUCUGGGACAGCUCCGGAGCAGCGAACCUCAGCGAUCAAGGACUGCCUGGCUCGCCAUAGCUUCUCCAGUUGACACCUCUUGGACUGACAAGGAUGACUGUUGCCACUAUCCUGAGCUGUUUGCAUGGCAACUGCUGACCUGCAAUGCAUCAUGGUUUGGUGCACCAGCACAGCUCUAUCCUUGUCCAUUAGAGUAUGCUGUCCAUUGCAAUGUUUCAGCUGCUGAUUUGAAAACACUACGCCAUUUCUUAAACAACUGCUAUUAGGUAGAGCUAAGAUGAUGAACCUGCUGCAAGAAAAGCAAGAAAAACAAAUGUAAAAGGAGCAGAUGGAGUAGAGCAGGUGUGAAAGUUUGACUCCAGAGAGACUGAUGGCAACAUACCAGCUGGAUUCUGCAUGACCAGACUUAAGAGUGCCUCCCAGCCCCGCCGCUUGUCUCUGGAAAAAAAUCUCACAUAAGCAGGAGGGAAACAACUUUGGUAUGGCAACUGCCAGAGCAAGACAGAGUGUCGCAUUUUCUCUCUGACAAAAUUUACUGUCAAAGCUUCUAUUCAGUAAACCUUCGACACCAACACUAAAGGCAAAAGUGGGAAAAGGAAUGCCUAAUAAAUGAAACUCAGGGACAUCACCAGACAACUUCCCAAGUCUCUGAAAGAUAUUCAGAAGGACCUAUCAAGGACUAACCCGAGUUUUUUCUGAUUCCUAAGAAAAUUUCUUUUGUAGGUAGAAAAUUGCUCUGCAUAGAUUACAUUCAAAGUGAUAAGUGUAAAUAUGCUGCAUCCAUGAUGCAAAUUUGCAGAAAAAAAAAUAACAUUAUUGUCUCCAAUUCUAGACCCAAACACUUGAAAGAUAGCAGCAGCAAAUUUUAAAGAGGUUAUAUUUUUCUGCCCUUCAGGUUUGGCUUGUUUUCCUGGGCAUGGCCACAGCUAAUAUUAGUGCUGGAUGAUGUCACUUUUAGCAUAUACUUUUUGCAGGGAAAGAAAUUCAGCUCCUGAAAAUAUCAACAAAAAGUGUUUGUUUUGUGUCUAUAGCAGUGCACAUGCACUAUGGCAUUUAGGUCAUUCAACUUCUGUAACCUCAACACAUGCCAAUCUAUUUCCAGGCGUAGCCUGUAGUAAGAAUCACUGAAAUUUAAGAAGUGGAUAAACAAACUCAUUCGUUUAUUACCAAUAAGACAUCAAAUGCUAUGUCUUUUACAACCGAAAGGAGAGUAACAUUUUCUGUAGAGAUAAUUUUCACUUGGCAAGAAGGCAAAACAUUUACUGAAAUGCUAUUAUAUACCAGCCAUGAACAUAUACUGCAAAAAGAGAGUGAGCUUUGAUAGCAAACAACUUACUUUAGGUAUUAAAUUGAAGUUAAAAUGAUAGAGAGUUUGAU